GGAAGUAUGGGUGAGCGGUCGAAACCAGCCCUCUGCUAAGGGGCUGAGCCUCACAAAAGGCUCCGAAAGUUCGAAUUGCAAAUCGGCGAAGACCGCUUGAAUAAACUCAAUCUGAGCCAAUCUUUCUACUUCCA
rnacentral:tRNA from 1 species